rnacentral:tRNA from 2 species
GAACGAAAAUCCGUUGGUUUUUCAGGACCGUGAGGGUUCGACUCCCUCUAUCCCCAACG